GUGAGGGGGCAGAGUCAGCCCAGGACCCGGCUGUCCGGAUUUACUGACUGCACAGCCCCUCUGUGAACAAGAACAAGCAAUGGCGCUGGUCACGUAGCAAGGAAAUACCUGUGGAUUCCAACUGUAGACCCCAGCCAGAAGCUGAAUGCAACCUCUGUUUUGCAUCUCCAGGCCCCGCUCUUUCCUACUGUAUAGCAAGUGCCUGUUUAUUUCGUCUCUCCUGUUCUGCUAUAAUCUCUCAAGGAAGCAAUCUGUGUUUUCCAGACUUGUCUUCAGCACCCAGCCCAGUGCCUGCACAAAGUGACGAACAAAUGAGAAGUCUGAGACUCAGAGAAACCAACUCAUCAGGGGUCACACUGCUGGUGAAGAGUGAACCCCACCUUUCUGCCUCCAGGGCAUGCCCCUUCACUCCACUCUCCUGGGCCAGCAGGACCUGAGACUGAGCUUGCUUCUCUGGAGCAAGCCAACCAAGAAUACAGGAACAGCCAAUGAUUCUGGGAAAAGAGUCUUCUGUGAUCUUGAGUCCUCGGUCAGCUGAGCUUCAGUGGCGAGGCCUGGGAAAUUUACUAAUGAGCACAGAAGGGAACUCUCAGACUUUGUAAAAUGUCAUUAAAAUCCCUGACUGCAAAGAAAAGAGACUGCUGGUAUACUGCCAGUAUAAACCAGAUUUGGGAAAGCAAGAGCUGUGUCCA
ensembl:lncRNA